GACCGCACGCAUGCGCGUACUAACACUCGCAAACGACUUCCUUUCCGACCCGCACACCGGAGACCCAGUGAGCUGAGGCCCCGCCUCCGCAGCCAGCAGGAGGCAAGCGUGUUCCUAGCCGCGAAAACUCCCCCACCAUGCCAGCCCCGACACACGGCAGAGGAGAUCAAGCUUUUUUGGAUAAAGGCUUCUAGCUCGUUUACGAACCCAGGCAUUUCCAGUUCUACAUCCAUUCCUCGCUGCCGAAUUCGGCCUCUAACUGGUCAGGUCUGUGUCGUGUUCAGCAUUCCAGGACUACGGCGGUAGACGCACGCCUGCGCACGCCGCGGCUUAGGAGACACACAAGCCACCGUGGCACGUGGGUGGUGCCGGGCUGUGAAGGGGCCCCUCGGUUGGCCCGGAACCUGGGAGAUUUGGGUUCGGGAUCAGUGACAUUCAAAGAUGUGUCCAUUGGUUUCUCCAAGGAAAAUGAGGAUUACUAAACCCUGCUCAAAGAGAUUUGUACAUAACUGUGAUGUUGGAGAAUUAUCAGAAUUUGGUCUGGGUGGAUAAGUGCACCCCGCCCUUCAUUCAACAUCUGGUCUUGGGUGUGUCUCUGUUUUCUACUAGGAAUAUUUGGUGAGGCUCUAACUUUCCUUGAAAUGUGAAAAUUGAAAUGAGCAGCUUUCUUUAUCCCAUCUGCCAGAUAUUCACCAAGACUUUUUCUUGUUUUAUGAUAGUUUCUAUCCUGAUUACAAUGUGGCUGUAUCCAAACACUUAAGUAACAACAACAUGGCCAAUUCUUUCUCCUUAUUUUCCCAGGUCUUUCAUUUUUAGUCUGAUGUAAUUCCACUAUUAGAGCAUGGGAAAGUACCCUGAAUGAUAGGGAAAGAAGAGAUGAGAGGAUCAAUGCCAGGUGCUUAAGAGGAAUGAGGAUACACAUCGGCCAAGUGAAGAGACCCAUAGGGCAGAGUCCAGGAGGAUUCUAGAUGCAAAGCUUCCAUUUGUCUUACAACACUGCAGUCAUGGACAAUGUAAACUCCUCCCAGUAACAGCAUGUGAUGAUAUGCAGAGUAUGGCCAUCCAGAGGUGACCUGACUUGCUCUGGAUGGCCAGAAACAUCCAAUAAAGUGGACAAUAAAAAGUGUCUGCUCUUUAUUGGGUCUCUGUCAGAGAUAUGAUUAGUUGCUUAUGUGACUCACCUCUGUCCCUACACCCUAUGGAGGUCACACUGAUAUUGUGAUGCAAAGCCUCAUCAUAAGUCACACUGACUAUCUGGUAUGGUUCAGUUUCCUACCUAAAGAAAGAUACUUUACUUUUAUCAGGCAUAACAUUUCAAGGAGUCAGAUUACCUCCCAGGAGCCAAGGGCAAAGAGUAGAGCUCUUUGGGAAAGGUUAAAUUCUUUAUUACACAACAGCUAAGAUUUAUUUUAAAAAAGGAUAAAAAGCAAAAUAAGCAAAGGUAAAAAGCUCAUGGGGCAAAGCCUGGAGGAAACUAGGUACAAGAGUCACACAGGAUGUGCUUAAUUCUUCUAGCCAAAAGUUGUUAAAAUAUGCAUGAUAUGUUGGCUAGACAACAUUUGAGAUUCACUGUCUAAGGGUUUUAUUGCUGGCUGGUCACAAAGAUUCCCUUCACCUAGAAUAUGCUAAAAUUCCAGAGUCUUCGAAGAUAGGUAUUCUGCAUAAGCUACAUUCGUACAAAUAAUUUAGGCACAGGGAUCCACUUUUAUUCUAGGAAUGGCAGAAAUUCACCACCCAAAACCAAAAUUCCUAGAGAGCAUUGAGGGCCAACUUUGUAAGCAGGACUUCUAAGGAGAGCAUUCUCAGGCUUGCUAUGUUAAUUCUCUCAAGAGUUUGUUUAAAAGUAUAGAAGCAUUCAGUUUUACUUUUGAGUGGAGGAACUAAGACUUGCUUCCAUGGACCUGUGCAUACCAGAAACUAUCAUUAGAAGGACAUAAAUCAAGGGAUCACUGGGUGGCUCAGUGGUUUGGCACCUGCCUUUGGCUCAGGGCUUGAUCCUGGAGUCCUGGGAUUGAGUCCUGCAUCAGGCUCCCUGCAUGGAGCCUGCUUUUCCCUCUGCCUCUCUCUCUCUCUUUCAUGAAUAAAUAAAUAAAAUCUUAAAACAAAACAAAAAAGGACAUAAAUUGGUUGUUUUGAUGUAGAAGAUGAAAAUAGUUUUAAUUUUGAAUCUUGGUGAUACGUUGAUAGAAAGUAAGGAAGUAAAGCACAUUUGUGAUGCUUUUAUUAAGGAAUCAUUUAGAGUUGAGCUAUAGCUUCAACUAUAAGCUGUAAAUGUGUAACUGAGAUUCAGUAGAUGAAACUCAGGACCAGAGAUGAAUGCAUAUUUCAUACACAUAUAUACCACAUACUCUGGUGAUAGAGCCCUAGGAAAAAAUAGAUUACUUAUGCAUAGAGGAAAAUCCAUGAUUGAUCACUCGAUAGUAAGAGAAACAAGAAAGUCCUCUGUUUCAAUUCUGAGGCGUAUUACAAGAAGAGAUGGAUUUAGGCAGCAAAAGAGCUAUAGGACCUGGCUCACCGGGCACCACAUCCGCUGAUACCUUGAUCUUAUAUUUCCCAAACUCCACUGUGAGAAAUGUUUGCUGUUCAAUCCACUCAGGUAUUUUGUUAUAAUAAGCUCAUGUUGAUUAAAACAACUUACAGCCAACAUUGUAUUUAUGGAUGCUUAUUUCCUAAAAUUAAGAAAAAGAAAAAGAGUCUGCUCUCACUGCUUGUAUUAAACAUUGUCCUAGAGGUUUUAGCCAGUGUAAUAAAGCAAGAAAAAAAGUAGAGGGCAGAUUGGAAAGGAAGCAGUAAAACUCUCUGCAGAUGGCACGAUCAUGUAGAAAGUCCUGUUUUAUACAGAAAGUUACUUUAGAGCUAAAUGAGUUUAGUAAGAUUGCAUAUUCUAAAAUAUAUAAAAACCAAUGACAUUUUAAUACAGUAGCAUGGAAAAAUCAGAAAUUGAAUUUAAAAUACCACUU